rnacentral:misc_RNA from 1 species
CCAAUAGCGUAUAUUAAAGUUGUUGCAGUUAAAAAGCUCGUAGUUGAAUUUCGGGAUCAAUACGUCGGUCGUGCUUUUUUGGUACGUACUGGCGUCAUUGGUUUCUCUCUUCUGACGAACCAUGAUGUCAUUAAUUUGGUGUUAUGGGGAGUUAGGACUGUUACUUUGAAAAAAUUAGAGUGUUUAAAGCAGGCAUUAGCUUGAAUACAUUAGCAUGGAAUAAUGAAAUAGGACGUUUGAUCCUAUUUUGUUGGUUUUUAGGAUCGACGUAAUGAUUAAUAGGGAUAGUUGGGGGCAUUAGUAUUCAAUUGUCAGAGGUGAAAUUCUUGGAUUUAUUGAAGACUAACUACUGCGAAAGCAUUUGCCAAGGAUGUUUUCAUUAAUCAAGAACGAAAGUUAGGGGAUCGAAGACGAUCAGAUACCGUCGUAGUCUUAACCAUAAACUAUGCCGACUAGGGAUCGGAUGAUGUUAUUUAUAAUGACUCAUUCGGCGCCUUACG